UACGGGGGGGGCAAGCGUUGUUCGGAAUUACUGGGCGUAAAGGGCUCGUAGGCGGCCAACUAAGUCAGACGUGAAAUCCCUCGGCUUAACCGGGGAACUGCGUCUGAUACUGGAUGGCUUGAGGUUGGGAGAGGGAUGCGGAAUUCCAGGUGUAGCGGUGAAAUGCGUAGAUAUCUGGAGGAACACCGGUGGCGAAGGCGGCGAUCCUGGACCAAUACUGACGCUGAGUGAGCGAAAGCCAGGGGAGCAAAACGGGG
rnacentral:rRNA from 1 species